rnacentral:lncRNA from 1 species
ACACAAAAUGGCGACACGUGGUUAGCAUUCGUCGCCAACGAGAAAUUGGGGUCGGCCCGAAAGCUCUAGAAUGCACCCCUCUUCCUCCCCGGGGCCUUCCACCUCCGCGAGUUUUAUGACUUAAAAAAGCCCACAGGCUGGUCUGAAGGUCGGAGGCCUAAUUUUAACGCGUUUUCCUCCCUUUAAUUUGAAACGGGAACGCGAAUGACUGUAAAAUGUGGGCACAAUAUUUAAUCUCUCGCCUUUUUAAAGCUUAAUAGUGGAUAAUAGGGGGGCAGUAUCAAGGGAUAAUUUGGGUCCCCACAGUACCAAAGCAUUUAGAAACCUCUGUUUAAUUUAAGGAAUGAGAUAAGUUACUGCUUUUCUAGACUUCCUAGCAUGGGCUGUUGUGCUGGAGAGAACGAGAGCUACGAAGAGACUACAGUGCCUCUGACUUUUUCAUAGGACAGUUGGCCGAGGAAGACAAACAUAAAGAUGAAGUGCUUAAUUCAAGGUCACACAAUGUCGGGGAUGGACCUCCAGAUUUCCUUACUGGAAAACAAGCUCAGGGCUCCCACUGAUUGUACAUUAUGAGACGGAGUCUUGCUAUGUUGCCCAGGCUGGUCUUGAACUCCUCACCUCAAGCGAUCCUCCCGUCUUGGCCUCCCAAGUGUCAGGAUUACGGGCAUGUGCUAUCACACCCAACCUGAUACAUUGCCUUUAUAAAUUUUUUUUUCUUUAUUCUAAAAACCAGAAAAAACAAAACUGGAUACAUGUGCAGAACAUGCAGGUGAGACGUGGUCUUGUAACACAGUGGUUAAGAAUGUGACUUUGGAGCCAGCCUGCUAGGGGCUGAAUUCUGACUCAGCCAUUUACUAACUGUGUGACCUUAGGCUGGAGUGCAAUGGCAUGAUCUCGGCUCAUCACAACCUCUGCUUCCUGGGUUCAAGCGAUUCUCCUGCCUCAGCCUCCCGAGUACCUGGGACUACAGGCACUCGCCACCAUGCCCGGCUGAUUUUUGUAUUUUUAAUAGAGAUGGUUUCACUAUGUUGGCCAGGCUGGUCUCGAACUCCUGACCUUGUGAUCUGCCCACCUCAGCCUCGAAAAGUGCUGGGAUUACAGGCGUGAGCCACUGCGCCCAGCCUUGUAUUUUUUUUCAGUUUGGGUAGCUGUCCCUAAUUCAUUUGUUAAAGGAGAAGCAAGAGCAAGAACCUUUAAUCUGUUCUCCUCUUCCCUAAUUUGAAAGUAGCUUGUUAUUUUGAAUAUCACUUUCUCUGAAAUAGCACAUCUCCAUCUCAGAGAAUGGAUUUAAUGUUUGGAUACAGCCAAAAGUCAUUUCAUUACCAAACCAUGGGGUGAAUAUACCAUGUAAAGCAGUUUGGGAUCAGAACUCACAGUCUGAAUUGUAAGUGAUGAGACUGCUGUCUCUCUGCUACAGCUUCUUGGCUGGCUCUGAAGGCUCUUUGAAGGCAGAUCCUAACAAGGGGACUGCUUUGAAGGGCCAUUGUUCAUUUGGAAUGAUAAAGUCUAUGUUGUUCAAAAAACAAAUGCUUGUAGCAGGUAUUUUUUCACUCCAGACUGAGAAUAUUGGUGGGAUAUUGAUAAGGGGUACUGAAUGGUAAUAAACAUGUGCUCUAGCUCUGUGCUAGUCAGCUUAUUUCAGAACUCUAGUUUGAUUCAGUUUCUUGCCUCUGACUCAAAAUGGAGGGAGAGUGAUUUUUACAUAAGAGAACACACCCACAUAUCCUUUUGGCAGCAGCUACCUGCCAGAGAUGUUGAAGAAGAGUAGCCAACCUUUACACAGCAGAUAUUGUGUGCCAGUCAUAGUCCUAAGUAUAAUACCUUACAUGUAUAAACUUCUUAUAAGGUUGGUGCUCUGUACCGAAUUGAAUAGUAUCCCCCAAAAUUCAUGUUGUCCCAGAACCUAUGAAAGUGAUCUUACUUGAGGGAGGGGGGAGGGGGGAGGGAUAGCAUUAGGAGAUAUACCUAAUGCUAAAUGACGAGUUAAUGGGUGUAGCACACCAGCAUGGCACAUGUAUACAUAUGUAACUAACCUGCACAUUGUGCACAUGUACCCUAAAACUUAAAGUAUAAUAAUAAUAAAAUAAAAAAAAAAAAGAAAGUGAUCUUACUUGGAAA